rnacentral:rRNA from 1 species
CUGCCCAAAAGAGGGGGAUAACACUUGGAAACAGGUGCUAAUACCGCAUAACCAUAGUUACCGCAUGGUAACUAUGUAAAAGGUGGCUAUGCUACCGCUUUUGGAUGGGCCCGCGGCGCAUUAGCUAGUUGGUGGGGUAAAGGCUUACCAAGGCAAUGAUGCGUAGCCGAACUGAGAGGUUGAUCGGCCACAUUGGGACUGAGACACGGCCCAAACUCCUACGGGAGGCAGCAGUAGGGAAUCUUCCACAAUGGGCGAAAGCCUGAUGGAGCAACGCCGCGUGGGUGAAGAAGGUCUUCGGAUCGUAAAACCCUGUUGUUAGAGAAGAAAGUACGUGAGAGUAACUGUUCACGUUUCGACGGUAUCUAACCAGAAAGCCACGGCUAACUACGUGCCAGCAGCCGCGGUAAUACGUAGGUGGCAAGCGUUAUCCGGAUUUAUUGGGCGUAAAGGGAACGCAGGCGGUCUUUUAAGUCUGAUGUGAAAGCCUUCGGCUUAACCGGAGUAGUGCAUUGGAAACUGGGAGACUUGAGUGCAGAAGAGGAGAGUGGAACUCCAUGUGUAGCGGUGAAAUGCGUAGAUAUAUGGAAGAACACCAGUGGCGAAAGCGGCUCUCUGGUCUGUAACUGACGCUGAGGUUCGAAAGCGUGGGUAGCAAACAGGAUUAGAUACCCUGGUAGUCCACGCCGUAAAC